rnacentral:rRNA from 1 species
UCUAGAAGAAAAAAGGUAAUACUUUUUAAGGAAACCUUCAUCUUUUGGCGGCCUGAUUUCUUCUUAGAGGAACUCGUCUCGUAAUCGACAAUCCUCGAUAUUUUUAACUUUUUCCUUUUCUCUUAUACCGCCGUCUCUAGAAUCAAUUCAUUUUUCAUAAAAAAAGAAUUUUAAUAAGUCAGGUAAAGGUGAGGACUAUGAAAAAGAGAAGAUUAGUUACUCAUAAACACAAUUUUUGAAUUGUUUAUUAACAUCUUCAUGAAACAGGAUUUAAUAGUAAUUUUUUUAAUAGUAUUUUAUAAUGAACCGGUAAAAUUAGGUGU